rnacentral:tRNA from 2 species
GGGUCUAUAGCUUAAAGGUUAGAGCGUACGCGUUGAUAAGCGUAAAGUUGAUUGUUCGAAUCAAUCUAGACCCAA